rnacentral:tRNA from 1 species
CAUCAGAUGACUGAAAGCAAGUAAUGGUCUCUUAAACCAGUUCAUGGUAUUCUAGCAAGUAUCUCUGAUGA